GCGCCCGUAGCUCAGGUGGAUAGAGCAGGAGCCUUCUAAGCUCUUGGCCGGGGGUUCGAAUCCUCCCGGGCGCGCCA
rnacentral:tRNA from 2 species